AGAGUUUGAUCCUGGCUCAGAUUGAACGCUGGGGAGGGGAACGCAUGCAAGUCGAACGGCAGCACGGGGGCAACCCCGGAGGCGAGUGGCGAACGGGUGAGUAAUACAUCGGAACGUGCCCAGUCGUGGGGGAUAACGUAGCGAAAGCUACGCUAAUACCGCAUACGAACUCUGGUUGAAAGCGGGGGAUCGCAAGACCUCGCGCGAUUGGAGCGGCCGAUGGCAGAUUAGGUAGUUGGUGGGGUAAAGGCCUACCAAGCCGACGAUCUGUAGCUGGUCUGAGAGGACGACCAGCCACACUGGGACUGAGACACGGCCCAGACUCCUACGGGAGGCAGCAGUGGGGAAUUUUGGACAAUGGGCGCAAGCCUGAUCUUUUUAUUUCGUGUGCAGGAUGAAGGCCCUCGUGUUGUAAACUGCUUUUGUACGGAACGAAAAGGCUCUGGUUAAUACCCGGGGCUCAUGACGGUACCGUAAGAAUAAGCACCGGCUAACUACGUGCCAGCAGCCGCGGUAAUACGUAGGGUGCGAGCGUUAAUCGGAAUUACUGGGCGUAAAGCGUGCGCAGGCGGUGAUGUAAGACAGGUGUGAAAUCCCCGGGCUUUAACCUGGGAACUGCAUUUGUGACUGCAUCGCUGGAGUGCGGCAGA
rnacentral:rRNA from 1 species